GGAGGAGCUUGCGUCACAUUAGUUAGUUGGUGGGGUAAAGGCCUACCAAGACUAUGAUGUGUAGCCGGGCUGAGAGGUUGAACGGCCACAUUGGGACUGAGACACGGCCCAAACUCCUACGGGAGGCAGCAGUAGGGAAUUUUCGGCAAUGGAGGAAACUCUGACCGAGCAACGCCGCGUGAACGAUGAAGUAUUUCGGUACGUAAAGUUCUUUUAUUAGGGAAGAAUAAAUGAUGGAAAAAUCAUUCUGACGGUACCUAAUGAAUAAGCCCCGGCUAACUAUGUGCCAGCAGCCGCGGUAAUACAUAGGGGGCAAGCGUUAUCCGGAAUUAUUGGGCGUAAAGGGUGCGUAGGCGGUUAAAUAAGUUUAUGGUCUAAGUGCAAUGCUCAACAUUGUGAUGCUAUAAAAACUGUUUAGCUAGAGUAAGAUAGAGGCAAGUGGAAUUCCAUGUGUAGUGGUAAAAUGCGUAAAUAUAUGGAGGAACACCAGUAGCGAAGGCGGCUUGCUGGGUCUUUACUGACGCUGAGGCACGAAAGCGUGGGGAGCAAACAGGAUUAGAUACCCUGGUAGUCCACGCCGUAAACGAUGAGUACUAAACGUUGGGUAAAACCAGUGUUGAAGUUAACACAUUAAGUACUCCGCCUGAGUAGUACGUACGCAAGUAUGAAACUUAAAGGAAUUGACGGGACUCCGCACAAGCGGUGGAUCAUGUUGUUUAAUUCGAAGGUACCCGAAAAACCUCACCAGGUCUUGACAUGCUUCUGCAAAACUGUAGAAACACAGUGGAGGUUAUCAGUUGCACAGGUGGUGCAUGGUUGUCGUCAGCUCGUGUCGUGAGAUGUUGGGUUAAGUCCCGCAACGAGCGCAACCCUUAUUGUUAGUUACCAGCACGUAAUGGUGGGGACUUUANCAAGACUGCCGGUGAUAAAU
rnacentral:rRNA from 1 species